ACCUCUGGCUCCUUCGCAUUCAAGCUAGAAAACCUUUCGCCUUCUACUGAAGAAUUCCGUGCAGAGGUGCAUUUUAUGAGCAUCAAACAGUUUAUGGGAUCUCCUGGAAAGAGCGGAG
rnacentral:snRNA from 1 species